UUGCAAGUUAAAAUAUGUUUUUAAGUUUUGAUGACAUGUAAAAUUGGUUUACAUUUUUUUUUUCCAGAUUUCUGCAAAAAGAAGAGUGUCUUGAAAUGGCAGUCUCUGAUGAGAGUUUUCAAUAGUUCUUCAAGUGACACAAAGUGCUCCUAUGACAACCUUAGAAACUCCAACCCAUGCAGUUGUUCCUACAUAAGGAAUUUCCUUCUGUUGUGGUUUAACCUGGCGGGCAGACAACAAGAGAAAUGCUGGAAAAAGAAGUCCUCAAGCUGGACCCACUAUUUUCUCUCCAUGACUGACUCUUGUGUGCAUUUUCUGAAGAGCUCUUCAGGUGAAGCCGCAGCAUCAACAUCCGCAGCAAGGAUUACUAAUGCAUUUGAGGACCGACAGAGGAGAAAAGGAGCAGAGGAGGUUCCCGGGGGAGAAGGGAGGUGAGAGAGGGCAAGGGGCCGGGAUGGAUGCGGAGGAUGCCGGGCUGCAAGCGCCCCUCGACCCUGCUCUCUCGGGGGCCAAAAUCAGCGGCUGGGAGACCCGGACCUUGACAAGGGAGCCCGAGAAAGUGGCCGGGGAGAGCCGGCCCGGAGAGGCGGCGGCUCCUGCGGGGGACCAUCGCCGCCUUGGCCAGGCGUCCCCCCCGGCGGGCGCUCGGCGGGGCUCG
rnacentral:lncRNA from 1 species